rnacentral:misc_RNA from 1 species
CAAUAAGAGUGUUCUAUGGCACUCUUCUAAAAAAAAAUCCAUACCCCACCUUGUGUGCAAUGUAAAAAGGAAAGUGCGAGUUGUUGAAUUGAAGGACUUUUUUGUUCUUCGAGAUCCGCGAUUUGCCUCUUUCUUUUUCCAAUUCAUAUACACCUAUCUAUAUCCUAUUGUCUGAUAAUGUUACAGAAUGACUAAUUCUUAAACA